rnacentral:piRNA from 1 species
GUUUAAUAUCUGAUACGUCCUCU